rnacentral:rRNA from 1 species
AACGAACGCUGGCGGCAUGCCUAACACAUGCAAGUCGAACGAGACCUUCGGGUCUAGUGGCGCACGGGUGCGUAACGCGUGGGAACCUGCCCUUAGGUUCGGAAUAACUCCCCGAAAGGGGCGCUAAUACCGGAUAAUGUCUUCGGACCAAAGAUUUAUCGCCUUUGGAUGGGCCCGCGUUGGAUUAGCUAGUUGGUAGGGUAAAAGCCUACCAAGGCGACGAUCCAUAGCUGGUCUGAGAGGAUGAUCAGCCACACUGGGACUGGGACACGGCCCAGACUCCUGCGGGAGGCAGCAGUGGGGAAUAUUGGACAAUGGGCGAAAGCCUGAUCCAGCAAUGCCGCGCGAGUGAUGAAGGCCUUAGAGUUGUAAAGCUCUUUUACCCGGGAUGAUAAUGACAGUACCGGGAGAAUAAGCUCCGGCUAACUCCGUG